CUAGUGUAUCAAAUUGUAUUCUCUGUCGUAACGUUCUUUGAAUACCUGCUUAUCCGUUGUCUGCAUCAUAAUACGUUGAACAGUUUUAGAAAAAGGCGGGAAAGGGAAAUUGGCCGAGCAUGGCGGGAUAAAGGGAUUUGAAGUGAAGAUCGGUCUGGAUGGCGGGAUUUCGGAACCCGGUACUGGUCCCUCUACGAAACUCUAUUUUCACUCGUUGGCUCGAUAUUUUAGAACACGAUAAUCUGAGGUUUAUCUCAAAAAAUGUGCCUGAUAACUCGUGUCAAGAAACAGAGGGGAAGUUUUGACAGAAUUUUAUUGAGCAGUUUAGAGACGAAAAUCUUUUGUGAAAAUAAACGGUAUUGAAAUUUAUAGUACAUAGCGAUCAAAUGUCAAAUGACUGACUCUAUUUGCCACAUUCACAAAGGCCGGCACUUUUAUUGACAUCAAUUAGUUGAAAACAUGCUUAAUGAAAAUAUUUAUAAAAAAUCAGCCUUAAGCUAUUUAUGUAUAUUCAGCCACUACGAUCCUGGCAAAAAUUAUUAUAUGGACAGCUAGAUUGAGCUAGUGCAUGCGGAAAUAGAAAUACCGCAUACCUGCCUUGCCGAAUAGAUACGUUUGUCAAAAUUUGAUAAGGCUACAUGUAUUUUAACAACGUGUUUUGAUCAAGAGUGCAUGAUCAUGCACUAUAUUCAAGCCUA